rnacentral:rRNA from 1 species
UACGGAGGGGGCUAGCGUUGUUCGGAAUUACUGGGCGUAAAGCGCACGUAGGCGGCUUUGUAAGUUAGAGGUGAAAGCCCGGGGCUCAACUCCGGAAUUGCCUUUAAGACUGCAUCGCUAGAAUUGUGGAGAGGUAAGUGGAAUUUCGAGUGUAGAGGUGAAAUUCGUAGAUAUUCGGAAGAACACCAGUGGCGAAGGCGACUUACUGGACACAUAUUGACGCUGAGGUGCGAAAAGCGUGGGGAGCAAACAGG